AUUAUAAUUACUUAUAGUAGUUAUUAUGGGCAUAGAAUCUGAUGCACUUAAUAUUCACUCUAUCAUCCCUCUAUUAUGUUGAUGACAAAACUUCACCAUCCUUUCUCUUUAAGAGUGUCAACCCAGGGAAGCCCACCACUCAAAAUUCAGUGGAGUCCAAGCUGAGUUGAAAUUUUAAAAGUUUUAUUUGAAGGGAAAUUGACAUUAAUGCUGAGGCAACCUAGUACAAAGUACAAAGGGACCCAGAGCUUUGGAGAGGCAGUGGCAAUUUAUACUUGAAAAUUACAAAAAGAAAAUUCAGGGAAGAAUUAGAUUUAAAAAUGGACAGUCUUUCCCAUGAACAGCUGGGGUACAGAAGCAAGAUAUUUUGCAGGAAAAAUUGACAGAAAAGGCAGUUUAGGCUAGUUUGUGGUACAAAGAUCAGCAAAGCCAGAUAUCAAACAAAAAAGAUUUUGGGAGUAGGAAAGACUGGCAUUGGACACAUUCAUUUAAAAAUAUUCCCCGCAACCCUAGUAUUGAGAUGGCCUAAGUUUGUUCGGCUAAGUUAAGAAAGGUUUUUUCUUUUUCCUCCAAAAAGGUCUUUAUUUUGUUAACCUAUUGCUGUUUUCUUAUUUUAGAUUUCUUAUGCUGCGUUUUUCAUCUUUCUUUUCUUUUUUUAGUACAAGAAGAAAUAUGAUUUCUCAGGAUAUCAUCAUAGACUACACAUUUUUCUUGAAAAUAAGAGAUUUAUAGAUAGACACAAUGCUGGGAACCACUUAUUCACAGUUUUCAGAUAUGACCUUAGAUGAAUUCAGAAAUACUUAUGAGAAUACCUCAAUCUCCAAAGAAUUGAAGCCCAGCAUUGGUUAAAGAGACACAUUAGCCUUUCAGACACUGAACUAGCUCUGACAACAUAUCAACUUCGUCAUAUAUAUGUACAUCUGUGGAAAAUAUACUACCAAGCCUUUUGUGUAGCGUUUCUCGAUGCGAACCCGCCCUAACUUGGUGUUUUGGAGAACUAGGAGACCAACCCAUAUUCCUGCCACGUUCCAUACCUCAUCAGUAUGAAGAGGGAAGUGGAAGCAGGAGCAUGCAAUGGGAGGACCAAGAAAGCUGCUGUUAAUUUCAUCAUCCCCAGCCAAUUAGGAGGAUGAGGGAAGGACCUUCUGCUUCAGGAUAGGAAAUAAAAGGCUUAGUCCAGCAUCUAAUAGUGUGCAUCUAUCCAGGGACUGCAAUUAGGUGCAUAUUGCAAGAAUUGUAAAAAAAAAAUUUACUUCAUAUAUUUCUGAGUCUUUUUUAUCUUUGCAACAAACUUUUAACAAUAACGGUCUGGAUUAAGUGGUAUCAGUGUUAGAGAGGAGAAGGGAGAAGUAUGUGAAAGAUGUUGUAAAGAUGGAAACAAUAGGACUUCACAAUUUAUUGAAAAUGGGGAUUGAAAGAACUUAUGGGCUUGCAAAGAUCUGGCAUGGUGGAGGGACAUUACAGAGUCAGAAGCUUCUGAUGUGUGGUGAAGUCUGGAGUGUCAGAAACACAGUUGGGAGGGGACACCUGAGGAGUUUGCUACCUUAGAAUAAAGUUUUGUUGAUACCUUUUGUUUAUCACCUCACCACCCCUUCCUGACAUGCUCCACUCCAUAGAACCAAUUCCUCUUCACAUAGAAAAACAAUUAAA